rnacentral:rRNA from 1 species
ACGCUGGCGGCAGGCUUAACACAUGCAAGUCGAACGGUAACAGGAAUUAGCUUGCUAAUUUGCUGACGAGUGGCGGACGGGUGAGUAAUGCUUGGGAAUCUGGCUUAUGGAGGGGGACAACUACGGGAAACUGUAGCUAAUACCGCGUAAAAUCUUCGGAUUAAAGGGUGGGACUUUCGAGCCACCUGCCAUAAGAUGAGCCCAAGUGGGAUUAGGUAGUUGGUUAGGUAAAGGCUGACCAAGCCGACGAUCUCUAGCUGGUCUGAGAGGAUGACCAGCCACACUGGAACUGAGACACGGUCCAGACUCCUACGGGAGGCAGCAGUGGGGAAUAUUGCACAAUGGGGGGAACCCUGAUGCAGCCAUGCCGCGUGAAUGAAGAAGGCCUUCGGGUUGUAAAGUUCUUUCGGUGACGAGGAAGGUUGAUAGGUUAAUAGCCUAUCAAAUUGACGUUAAUCACAGAAGAAGCACCGGCUAACUCCGUGCCAGCAGCCGCGGUAAUACGGGGGGUGCGAGCGUUAAUCGGAAUAACUGGGCGUAAAGGGCACGCAGGCGGUGACUUAAGUGAGAUGUGAAAGCCCCGAGCCUAACUUGGGAAUUGCAUUUCAUACUGGGUCGCUAGAGUACUUUAGGGAGGGGUAGAAUUCCACGUGUAGCGGUGAAAUGCGUAGAGAUGUGGAGGAAUACCGAAGGCGAAGGCAGCCCCUUGGGAAUGUACUGACGCUCAUGUGCGAAAGCGUGGGGAGCAAACAGGAUUAGAUACCCUGGUAGUCCACGCUGUAAACGAUGUCGAUUUGGGGAUUGGGCUUUGAGCUUGGUGCCCGUAGCUAACGUGAUAAAUCGACCGCCUGGGGAGUACGGCCGCAAGGUUAAAACUCAAAUGAAUUGACGGGGGCCCGCACAAGCGGUGGAGCAUGU